rnacentral:rRNA from 1 species
AGAGUUUGAUUAUGGCUCAGGAUGAACGCUAGCUACAGGCUUAACACAUGCAAGUCGAGGGGCAGCAUUGUCGAAGCUUGCUUGACAGAUGGCGACCGGCGCACGGGUGAGUAACGCGUAUCCAACCUUCCCCAUAGUAGGGCAUAGCCCGUAGAAAUGCGGAUUAAUACCCUAUGUUUUCCGAGGAUGACAUCUGAUUCGGAACAAAGGUUCACCGCUAUGGGAUGGGGAUGCGUCUGAUUAGGUAGUAGGCGGGGUAACGGCCCACCUAGCCGACGAUCAGUAGGGGUUCUGAGAGGAAGGUCCCCCACAUUGGAACUGAGACACGGUCCAAACUCCUACGGGAGGCAGCAGUGAGGAAUAUUGGUCAACGGGCGCGAGCCUGAACCAGCCAAGUAAGCGUGCAGGACGACGGCCCUAUGGGUUGUAAACUGCUUUUAUACAGGGAUAAAGUCGGGGACGCGUUCCCCGUUUGCAGGUACUGUAUGAAUAAGGACCGGCUAAUUCCGUGCCAGCCGCGGC